UACGUAGGGACCAAGCGUUGUUCGGAUUUACUGGGCGUAAAGGGCGCGUAGGCGGCAAUUCAAGUCAUCUGUGAAAUCUUCGGGCUUAACUCGGAACGGUCAGAUGAUACUGUUUUGCUAGAGUGCAGAAGGGGCAAUCGGAAUUCUUGGUGUAGCGGUGAAAUGCGUAGAUAUCAAGAGGAACACCUGAGGUGAAGACGGGUUGCUGGGCUGACACUGACGCUGAUGCGCGAAAGCCAGGGGAGCAAACGGG
rnacentral:rRNA from 1 species